AAAGUUCCAAAGCCAGAACCACCCGCGGCCCCAUCUUUCGCCUGCGCAGUUCGUCGCCCCCAGACCCCUCUCCUCCUCGUGCACUGCCCCUCGCCAUGGCUGCUCCAUGUCUAGAAAAUGCACGCUGCUUCGACGAGCCGUCGAGUCUCAUCAGCAUCCGUGGUCGGUACACCCUGCGAUGCCAAGUUCGUCUUCGCUUCGCGUUGCGAUUAGAUUGCGAUUUGUUUUCGUGCUUCGAGGAAUCGAAGAUCAAGCGUUGGCGACCAAGUGAUCAGGCUCUUUGAGUUCCAUGAGGCUGAAGACCCUGAGCAUCUGUUUGGUGAAGGUUGCCUUUGGUGCAAUCUAUGCUCAGGUAAAGAACAAGGCGUCGAGGCGGAUCUCUAGGAGUUCCAGGACGUCGAUGAGUUCGAGGAUUAGGCUAGUGACCUCCCCCAGUCAGCUGCCUGUGGUGGGUUAUUUACGUUGGCCACGUUUCGAUUCUGUGUACUUUGAUUAUAUUAUGUAAAUGACUCUAGUUUGUAAUAUUAUUACUUACUCUUUAUUGUAAUUCGAAGCAUUGUGCUAUGAUGAGUCAUUUAUGUAAUCGCUGUGUACGUGAAUUACUGAUCCUGGCACGUACAUGGUUCGCAUUCGGUUUACCUUCAAAACCGGUGUGACAGAUUUC
rnacentral:lncRNA from 7 species